rnacentral:tRNA from 1 species
GCCCUUAUAGCUCAAUGGAUAGAGCGCGAGUUUCCGGAACUCGAAAUAGAGGUUCGAGUCCUCUUAAGGGCA